rnacentral:ncRNA from 1 species
AUAAAUUCGAAGAUGCAAAAUAGUAACAAGUCAUUUCUUUAUGAUAAGCGAGCUUACCAAAGGUGAAAGGUAGGUAUAAAUGAAACCUUGUGAAUGGGAUUGCUGAGAAGCAUUUGUGAAAUGACGUAAAGUAAGUAGCGAAUGACGAUAUACCCCACGUUAUAGGGGUUAACAUAUUAAUAACUUCAAUGUUAGCGUAUGUGAAAGAGGGAAAUCUUUUUAGAUUUCUAAAUCAGGGUGGCACCACGAUAUAUUCGUCCCUUAC